rnacentral:rRNA from 1 species
CCCUUAGAUGUUCUGGGCCGCACGCGCGCUACACUGAUGCAUUCAACGAGUCUAAAACCUGGUCUGAUAGGGCUGGGUAAUCUUUUGAAAGUGCAUCGUGAUUGGGAUAGAUGAUUGCAAUUCUUCAUCUUCAACGAGGAAUGCCUAGUAAACGCAAGUCAUCAGCUUGCAUUGAUUACGUCCCUGCCCUUUGUACACACCGCCCGUCGCUACUACCGAUUGGGAAAAUUUUAGAGAGUCCUGGACUGAUGAUUGUUCGGCUUCACGGCCUUACUUUCGUCGGGAAAGAAUUCGAUAAUAUUUUUCUAGAGGAAGUAAAAGUCGUAACA